rnacentral:rRNA from 1 species
GUACGUACAAGCAGUGGGAGCACAGGUUUACCUGUGUGACUGCGUACCUUUUGUAUAAUGGGUCAGCGACUUAUAUUCUGUAGCAAGGUUAACCGUAUAGGGGAGCCGAAGGGAAACCGAGUCUUAAUUGGGCGUUAAGUUGCAGGGUAUAGACCCGAAACCCGGUGAUCUAGCCAUGGGCAGGUUGAAGGUUGGGUAACACUAACUGGAGGACCGAACCGACUAAUGUUGAAAAA